rnacentral:rRNA from 1 species
AACGAACGCUGGCGGCAUGCCUAACACAUGCAAGUCGAACGAGACCUUCGGGUCUAGUGGCGCACGGGUGCGUAACGCGUGGGAACCUGCCCUUAGGUUCGGAAUAACUCCCCGAAAGGGGUGCUAAUACCGGAUAAUGUCUUCGGACCAAAGAUUUAUCGCCUCUGGAUGGGCCCGCGUUGGAUUAGCUAGUUGGUAGGGUAAAAGCCUACCAAGGCGACGAUCCAUAGCUGGUCGGAGAGGAUGGUCAGCCACGCUGGGACUGAGACACGGCCCAGACUCCUACGGGAGGGAGGAGUGGGGAAUAUUGGACGAUGGGCGAAAGCCUGAUCCAGCAAUGCCGGGGGAGUGAUGAAGGCCUUAGGGUUGUAAAGCUCUUUUACCCGGGAUGAUAAUGACGGUACCGGGAGAAUAAGCUCCGGCUAACUCCGUG